GGUUCAGUGGUAGAAUUCUCGCCUGCC
rnacentral:piRNA from 6 species